GGAAACGACUGCUAAUACCCCAUAUGCCGCGAGGUGAAAUGAAUUUCGCCUGAGGAUGAGCUCGCGUCUGAUUAGCUAGUUGGUGUAGGUAAUGGCUCACCAAGGCAUCGAUCAGUAGCUGGUCUGAGAGGAUGAUCAGCCACACUGGGACUGAGACACGGCCCAGACUCCUACGGGAGGCAGCAGUGGGGAAUUUUCCGCAAUGGGCGAAAGCCUGACGGAGCAACGCCGCGUGAGGGAUGAAGGCCUCUGGGCUGUAAACCUCUUUUAUCAAGGAAGAAGAUCUGACGGUACUUGAUGAAUAAGCCACGGCUAAUUCCGUG
rnacentral:rRNA from 1 species